UACGUAGGGUGCAAGCGUUGUCCGGAAUUAUUGGGCGUAAAGAGCUCGUAGGCGGUCUGUUACGUCGGCUGUGAAAACCUGGGGCUCAACCCCGGGCCUGCAACCGAUACGGGCAGACUAGAAUUCGGUAGGGGAGACUGGAAUUCCUGGUGUAGCGGUGGAAUGCGCAGAUAUCAGGAGGAACACCGGUGGCGAAGGCGGGUCUCUGGGGCCG
rnacentral:rRNA from 1 species